rnacentral:rRNA from 1 species
CCUACGGGAGACUGCAGUGGGGAAUAUUGGGCAAUGGGCGCAAGCCUGACCCAGCAACGCCGCGUGAAGGAAGAAGGCCUUCGGGUUGUAAACUUCUUUUCUCAGGGACGAAGCAAGUGACGGUACCUGAGGAAUAAGCCACGGCUAACUACGUGCCAGCAGCCGCGGGAAUACGUAGGUGGCAAGCGUUAUCCGGAUUUACUGGGUGUAAAGGGCGUGUAGGCGGGAAAGCAAGUCAGAUGUGAAAACCAUGGGCUCAACCUGUGGCCUGCAUUUGAAACUGUUUUUCUUGAGUACUGGAGAGGCAGACGGAAUUCCUAGUGUAGCGGUGAAAUGCGUAGAUAUUAGGAGGAACCCCAGUGGCGAAGGCGGUCUGCUGGACAGCAACUGACGCUGAGGCGCGAAAGCGUGGGGAGCGAACAGGAUUAGAUACCCCUGUAGUC